rnacentral:rRNA from 1 species
GACGAACGCUGGCGGCGUGCUUAACACAUGCAAGUCGAACGGAAAGGCCCUGCUUUUGUGGGGUGCUCGAGUGGCGAACGGGUGAGUAACACGUGAGUAACCUGCCCUUGACUUUGGGAUAACUUCAGGAAACUGGGGCUAAUACCGGAUAGGAGCUCCUGCUGCAUGGUGGGGGUUGGAAAGUUUCGGCGGUAGGGGAUGGACUCGCGGCUUAUCAGCUUGUUGGUGGGGUAGUGGCUUACCAAGGCUUUGACGGGUAGCCGGCCUGAGAGGGUGACCGGCCACAUUGGGACUGAGAUACGGCCCAGACUCCAACGGGAGGCAGCAGGGGGGAAUAUUGCACAGUGAGCGGGAGCCUGAUGCGACAACGCCGCGUGCGGGAUGACGGCCUUCUGGUUGUAAAACGCUUUCGCCUGUGACGAAGCGUGAGUGACGGUAAUGGGUAAAGAAGCACCGGCUAACUACGUG